rnacentral:lncRNA from 1 species
CUGGAGUCACGCAGACUCCAGGCAGCCUGCACAAAAUGCCAAACAAGAAAAAACUGCAAGAAAACGACCGCCACACGCCUUUCUAGAACAUGCAAACUAAGGAUCAAAUCCCACAACCAAAGGUGCACAGAGAGGUGUUGGGGAGAGGACAAGGGCAGCCUCCACACUAGAGGACAGAGCGGGGCUGGCGUGGCAGCCGCAGGGACACAGCAGGCCCAUCCAAGAUAGGAGGAGGCCCGGAGCCAGCAAGGACAACUGACAUCUUCACAACAUUGAAACUUCUGAUCAAGAAUCUUCCGAGUCUUCAUA